rnacentral:lncRNA from 1 species
UCUGGGUCAGUGAGAACUGCUGGUCUGGGUCAGUGAGAACUGCUGGUCUGGGUCAGUGAGAACUGCUGGUCUGGGUCAGUGAGGACUGCUGGUCUGGGUCAGUGAGGACUGCUGGUCUGGGUCAGUGAGGACUGCUGGUCUGGGUCAGUGAGGACUGCUGGUCUGGGUCAGUGAGGACUGCUGGUCUGGGUCAGUGAGGACUGCUGGUCUGGGUCAGGGAGGACUGCUGGUCUGGGUCAGGGAGGACUGCUGGUCUGGGUCAGUGAGGACUGCUGGUCUGGGUCAGGGAGGACUGCUGGUCUGGGUCAGUGAGGACUGCUGGUCUGGGUCAGGGAGGACUGCUGGUCUGGGUCAGGGAGGACUGCUGGUCUGGGUCAGUGAGGACUGCUGGUCUGGGUCAGUGAGGACUGCUGGUCUGGGUCAGUGAGGACUGCUGGUCUGGGUCAGUGAGGACUGCUGGUCUGGGUCAGUGAGGACUGCUGGUCUGGGUCAGUGAGGACUGCUGGUCUGGGUCAGUGAGGACUGCUGGUCUGGGUCAGUGAGGACUGCUGGUCUGGGUCAGGGAGGACUGCUGGUCUGGGUCAGGGAGGACUGCUGGUCUGGGUCACUGCAUCUGUAGUGUGGCCCGUACUGGAGCACUGCAUCUGUAGUGUGGCCCGUACUGGAGCACUGCUGAAGGUCAUAUGGAAGAAUGAACUAUGAAGCCUUUGUCCAAUAUGGCACCCUAAUCCCUAGAUAGUGCACUGCUUCGGGCCUGGCAACGUCCCAACGUCUCAUUGGUUCCACUCCUGGCAACGUCCCAACGUCUCAUUGGUUCCACUCCUGGCAACGUUCCAACGUCUCAUUGGUUCCACUCCUGGCAACGUCCCAACGUCUCAUUGGUUCCACUCCUGGCAACGUCCCAACGUCUCAUUGGUUCCACUCCUGGCAGCGUCCCAACGUCUCAUUGGUUCCACUCCUGGCAGCGUCCCAACGUCUCAUUGGUUCCACUCCUGGCAACGUCCCAACGUCUCAUUCAUAUAUCCCAUCCUCUGGGGGUCUGCAUAGAGCUAGCAGACUACAGCUCUAUAUCCUAUCCUCUGGGGGUCUGCAUAGAGCUAGCAGACUACAGCUCUAUAUCCUAUCCUCUGGGGGUCUGCAUGGAGCUAGCAGACUACAGCUCUAUAGCCUAUCCUCUGGGGGUCUGCAUGGAGCAGACUACAGCUCUAUAUCCUAUCCCUGGGGGUCUGCAUAGAGCAGACUACAGCUCUAUAUCCUAUCCUCUGGAGGUCUGCGUAGAGCUAGCAGACUACAGCUCUAUAUAUCCUAUCCUCUGGGGGUCUGCAUGGAGCAGACUACAGCUCUAUAUCCUAUCCUCUGGAGGUCUGCGUAGAGCUAGCAGACUACAGCUCUAUAUAUCCUAUCCUCUUGGGGUCUGUGUAGAGCAGACUACAGCUCUAUAUCCUAUCCUCUGGAGGUCUGCGUAGAGCUAGCAGACUACAGCUCUAUAUUUACCUAUCCUCUGGGGGUCUGCAUGGAGCAGACUACAGCUCUAUAUAUCCUACCCUCUUGGGGUCUGUGUAGAGCAGACUACAGCUCUAUAUCCUAUCCUCUGGAGGUCUGCGUAGAGCUAGCAGACUACAGCUCUAUAUUUACCUAUCCUCUGGGGGUCUGCAUGGCGCAGACUACAGCUCUAUAUCCUAUCCUCUGGAGGUCUGCGUAGAGCUAGCAGACUACAGCUCUAUAUUUACCUAUCCUCUGGGGGUCUGCAUGGAGCAGACUACAGCUCUAUAUCCUAUCCUCUGGGGGUCUGCGUAGAGCAGACUACAGCUCUAUAUCCUAUCCUCUGGAGGUCUGCGUAGAGCUAGCAGACUAGAAACAUUUGACUGAAUUUGAUGCCCAGUACAACUUGAAGAGAGUUGGCAUGGCUGAUGUCAUGUGACAGGGUUUACAUGGGGUUUUGGUCCGUGGACCUACUGAUGAACUCAGAGUAACCUCAGUGCUGGGCCAGGAGGAGGUUUUCCACCAUCAACUUGUUCCCUACUUUGGUUUUCUAUUAGAAAUGGCACACGCUUUAAAAAAAAGCACAUGGUUUAUAUUUUAUGUUAUUGUGAUUUUAAAUGAACUUGAUAAAAUAAAGAUUUGUCAAACAUUUUGCUCGCUUUUUAUGUUUUUGCGAUGUAGCUGUUAAAUAACUGGACAGAGAUGUCUGUUUCUAUUUUAUAUGUAUUCUGAGACUUUUAGCUAAAACUUCAAACAAAAUGCAGAGACUCCUUCUGAUUGGUCCCUUACAGGACCAAGUGCUUCUGAUUGGUCCCUACAUGUCAGUUAGCAGACUCUUAUCCAGAGCCCCUUACAGGACCUAGUGCUUCUGAUUGGUCCCUACAUGUCAGUUAGCAGACUCUUAUCCAGAGCCCCUUACAGGACCAAGUGCUUCUGAUUGGUCCCUACAUGUCAGUUAGCAGACUCUUAUCCAGAGCCACUUACAGGACCAAGUGCUUCUGAUUGGUCCCUACAUGUCAGUUAGCAGACUCUUAUCCAGAGCCCCUUACAGGACCAAGUGCUUCUGAUUGGUCCCUACAUGUCAGUUAGCAGACUCUUAUCCAGAGCCACUUACAGGACCAAGUGCUUCUGAUUGGUCCCUACAUGUCAGUUAGCAGACUCUUAUCCAGAGCCACUUACAGGACCAAGUGCUUCUGAUUGGUCCCUACAUGUCAGUUAGCAGACUCUUAUCCAGAGCCACUUACAGGACCAAGUGCUUCUGAUUGGUCCCUACAUGUCAGUUAGCAGACUCUUAUCCAGAGCCCCUUACAGGACCAAGUGCUUCUGAUUGGUCCCUACAUGUCAGUUAGCAGACUCUUAUCCAGAGCCACUUACAGGACCAAGUGCUUCUGAUUGGUCCCUACAUGUCAGUUAGCAGACUCUUAUCCAGAGCCACUUACAGGACCAAGUGCUUCUGAUUGGUCCCUACAUGUCAGUUAGCAGACUCUUAUCCAGAGCCCCUUACAGGACCAAGUGCUUCUGAUUGGUCCUUUACAGGACCAAGUGCUUCUGAUUGGUCCCUACAUGUCAGUUAGCAGACUCUUAUCCAGAGCCCCUUACAGGACCAAGUGCUUCUGAUUGGUCCCUACAUGUCAGUUAGCAGACUCUUAUCCAGAGCCCCUUACAGGACCAAGUGCUUCUGAUUGGUCCCUACAUGUCAGUUAGCAGACUCUUAUCCAGAGCCACUUACAGGACCAAGUGCUUCUGAUUGGUCCCUACAUGUCAGUUAGCAGACUCUUAUCCAGAGCCACUUACAGGACCAAGUGCUUCUGAUUGGUCCCUACAUGUCAGUUAGCAGACUCUUAUCCAGAGCCCCUUACAGGACCAAGUGCUUCUGAUUGGUCCCUACAUGUCAGUUAGCAGACUCUUAUCCAGAGCCACUUACAGGACCAAGUGCUUCUGAUUGGUCCCUACAUGUCUGGCAGUUAGCAGACUCUUAUCCAGAGCCACUUACAGGACCAAGUGCUUCUGAUUGGUCCCUACAUGUCAGUUAGCAGACUCUUAUCCAGAGCCACUUACAGGACCAAGUGCUUCUGAUUGGUCCCUACAUGUCUGGCAGUUAGCAGACUCUUAUCCAGAGCCACUUACAGGACCAAGUGCUUCUGAUUGGUCCCUUUCAGACUAUUUAUGUGAACUCAUUGUGGUUUGCUUGUUUUUUUUUUGGUGCAGUCUGAACACUCCGAAGGAACUCCGACCCCUCAAACCCCCAAAGUGAACCCAACUGAGACCAUCUCAAGAGGGGGUCUGAGUUUGGUUUGCUUGAAUUCCGCGUUCAGGUUCCCUUUUUAGGACAAUGUGAACACAAAGCUCCCCAGGUUCCCCCACACUACUGCAGCACACUAAACUACAGCCGCGACCCCUCGCUGGAGACCAACGGCCGCGACCCCUCGCUGGAGACCAACGGCCGCGACCCCUCGCUGGAGACCAACGGCCGCGACCCCUCGCUGGAGACCAACGGCCGCGACCCCUCGCUGGAGACCAACGGCCGCGAUAGAGAGAUAUGCAGAUAAAAAUGUGUUUUUUGAUUAGCGGUUGUCAAGGAUGUACAGAAAUUCAAAUAUGUGGGGAGUUUUUGGUUCAGAUGAUGUUUGUAAUUUGUGAUCUAAAGGCAGAGAGAGCUUCGUACACUGUUUAUUCCAUUGUGAGAAGACAUAUUUGGUGAGAAUCACACCACGGAGGUACGGCAUCAGUCCCAGAUCUUAUUAAAGGGCCAGUAGCCCACAUCGGGUGGACACUUGACAAAUAUACACUUAUUAUUCUGCUAUUUAUUCUGUUAAUAUUAUUUACAUGUUAAUAAUAGUAUCUUCUGAUUAGUGAUUGCUUUUUAGUUCAAAGAGGAGACAUUCUAUUAGCUUCCAAAAUGUAAGUAGGUAUUAUAAACUCAGCAAAAAAAAGAAACUGUCAACUGUGUUUAUUUUCAGCAAACUUAACAUGUGUAAAUAUUUGUAUGAAUAUGAGAUUCAACAACUGAGACAUUAACUGAACAAGGUCCACAGACAUGUGACUAACAGCAAUUGAAUAGUGUGUCCCAGAACAAAGAGGGGGGUCAAAAUCAAAAGUAACAGUCAGUAUCUGGUGUGGCCACCAGCUGCAUUAAGUACUGCAGUGCAUCUCCUCCUCAGGGACUGCACCGGAUUUGCCAGUUCUUGCUGUGAGAUGUUACCCUGCUCUUCAAGGCACCUGCAAGUUCCCGGACAUUUCUGGGAGGAAUGGCCCUAGUUCUCAC